rnacentral:rRNA from 1 species
GACGAACGCUGGCGGCGUGCUUAACACAUGCAAGUCGAACGGUGAACCUCUUCGGAGGGGAUCAGUGGCGAACGGGUGAGUAACACGUGGGCAACCUGCCCCCGGCUCUGGGAUAACUCCAAGAAAUUGGGGCUAAUGCCGGAUGUUCACCGCUUCCCGCAUGGGUGGUGGUGGAAAGGGUUUCCGGCUGGGGAUGGGCCCGCGGCCUAUCAGCUUGUUGGUGGGGUAGUGGCCUACCAAGGCGACGACGGGUAGCCGGCCUGAGAGGGUGACCGGCCACACUGGGACUGAGACACGGCCCAGACUCCUACGGGAGGCAGCAGUGGGGAAUAUUGCGCAAUGGGCGGAAGCCUGACGCAGCGACGCCGCGUGGGGGAUGACGGCCUUCGGGUUGUAAACCUCUUUCAGCAGGGACGAAGCGCAAGUGACGGUACCUGCAGAAGAAGCACCGGCCAACUACGUG